AAGCACCCUGGAGCCAGGACGGCACAGAGCUGGUCCCAGUGUAGCCUGCACACUGGGAUCACUUGGUAUGACCACAGUCAUAUUCUGGGUUUCUUCCCCUGCCCAGGUGGACUCACAUGACGCUAACAUGCCAUGCAGGACAGUGCAGGCAAGCUGCAAAGCCCUGCGCAGCUGCGGUGACUCACUCAAGUUCCCAGAGGAAAAGCCAUGGCUCCUGGCAGGCUCUGCAGCCCAGAGGUAGUUCGUUGCUCGGCAGGCAGAAGAUACACAAGGUCCACCUGAGCAACCCUUCAGAAAUGGAGCUUCUAUCUACCCAGGUAGAAGCAUCAGAAGAGGAAAAGUGUUUCUAUAACUGGGGUGUCCUUGGUCAACCUCCUUGUCCUGUUAUCUCCUCACUAGAAAAGAAGGGACAAAAACAUAAACCAUAUAUGGAGGGCAAGCAAAUGGAGAUGUAAAGUGCACUUCAAACAGCUCCAUCCUUUCAACAAGCCAUUUAUUAUUCUUCUAUCCACCCCAAUGCCUCUUUAAUUGUUAGUAAAAAGCCACUGUUUAGAAAGCAAGGACACUGCUCAAGGUACACGUGGGAGGCAUUUUCCCAGGAGAAGCCAGACUGAAAUUGGAGUCACUCUGGAUUUCACCGGAGCAGAACUGGACAGCCAGCAUUAGCAACCAUUUGGAGCCAGCCUUGGACAGAUAUCCUGGCCACAUCCCACACUUUUUGGCUGUAUCACUGCGCGUGUCGGUGUCCCCACAGUGCUGGCACGCCUGGCAUGGCAGAGGCAACCUGCCAGCAGCCUCCAGAGAAAAAUGCAUGGCACAGACCUUCUCCUGCACAACUGCCACCUGACAUUACAGGGGCAUGGCGAGCUUGACAAAGCUUGGCAGGUUUUCCCCAGCAGAUCUCUAAGCUGUUUGCCAGAGUGAGCAAGUUCAGGCAUGUUACAGAAGACCUUCAGACUCAGAGGACAAAUAAGAUGUGUGGAUGAGUUUAAACGACUGGGGCAACACCAGCGUUUUGAAAUCCCCAGGCUUUGCCUUGAUGCUAUGCCUGGGCUGUGGCCCAGGCAGUCAAGCUGCCAGUCUGGCAUCAGUACUGGGCCCCGUGAUGGUCUUGCUGAUAUGCCUAAUUGUUACAUACCGGCUUUGAAAUCGACGCAGGAGGUGUCACAUCUCCUCAGAAAUCCACCCUCCAAUCCAUUCUGGAGCAGGGCGUAGAACGCCUGCUCAGUGAGACACCACGACUCGGGGUGUUGGCAGGACAGUGUAUUUAUGUCACAAGAUGAGAUCAGCCACACGGAGCAGGCUGCUCUGCCUGUUUGUCUGAAUAAGUGUGGCCUAUUAAAUCAGAGCUGGAUUUUCAAAGGCGCUCAGCUCCCACUUAGGCUCUGCAACCAACAGGCAGAUAUUCAAAAGGAGUUGGACAUGUUGGGUCAUACUGGCUGCUGAGCUGAAGUCUUUUGAAUAUCCAGCCAAAACCAUCACUGUGCCUGUUGCUACAGGCAGAGCCCUUCUGAAAUCCAGCCCCACCGUGGGCUCCGCGUCCUGGUAAAUGCAGCUCAUCUCUGCUCUCCCCCAUCCUGCACUGCAGUAGGUGAUGAAAUUGCAAUAACCACCACGUCCUUAUACAUGUGGAGGAGCAGCUCCCUGUCGACAUGCAGCUCCAGCAGUUUUGCCCUUUGAUCAGCUCAGCAGCGUGGGUCAGGAGAAACGAGCAUGAAGGUUUCCUUGCCUUUUGUUCUGUGGAAUUAGCAGAGUUAAUCAGAGUGACAGCGACUUCUGCCUCAGCACAGAAGAAAGGUCAGUGGCUCAGGCUGAAUGCACAACUCUUUGCUAGGCAGCUGGAAAACAACACCAUGAAAACUGGUCACAUACACGCUGCUGGCAUGGAGGCUCUCACAUCUGGUAUCAGCAAAGAAGAUGCCCUGCGGAGGGGGAAGGAGGCUGGAGGAAAAGGCCUUCACUCAGCUGGUUUGCCACUGCACCUUAAUUGUCCCCUUCCUUAUGCUGUACAGUGCAGGUAUAUCACACUCUGUGACACUGUCACUGUGCACUGCUUUUUUAUUGUCUGUCCAGUAUCAAAUACAUCUCUUGGCCCAUGUGCCCCUUUGCUGGGUGUGCAUCAUGCUGGGCUUGGGGUCUCUGUGUCUCCUCAGGUUUCCCUGUGGUCUUUUAACUGUAGUUGAAAUGGUUACAAGAGUGGCAGCUCUCGGCAGAAAUGUCAAAUUUGGCCUUUGUGUCUGUAAUGUGCCCUCUUACCUUCCUCUGAUCAGUUACAAGUGCUUGCUUUUGCUGUGGAUAUCCACUCGUGUCUAAUUAGUGGAUUCUUUCUGUCAAAGAUAGUAGGACCCCAGGGUCCUAAUGUGACCAGGUUACAUUUGUCUGCAGUAUUUAUUGAUGCUUCCAUUUAUCCCUGGUCCUGUUAAAAGCAUCUGGGUAUCUGCAGAGGUUGCUCUCAUGAUCUCUCUGUGUCUCUAAUUAAAAUAGCCUGGAUGUCCAUGACAUUGGUGCCAGUCAAGCCUGUCACCAGGAGGUGAUGCCCAUCUCGGAACUGGCUGAAGAACGUAUAGGAGUCAUUAUUGCUGAGAAAGGCCUCCACAUCAAGGCCCUCCUGCAGUGCCUCACCCACCAGCUCUGGGCUGCAGAAGGCUCCUGCUGCUUCCGUUGGCCCAUCUUGCCCAUCUGUUCCCCCACUAAGAAAGAUGAUCUCACAGUGCCCUGGGGGGCUGCUGGUCUCCAUGGCCCAUGCCUUGUACAGCCUCAGUGCCACACGCAGGGCCAGUUCCUGGUUCCUACCUCCCUUGCCAGUUCCUUGAAGCUGAACCGUGGUUUCUCCGCCGGCCAGGAUGCAGACUGGUCUUCUGGGCCCUAAUCCUCUCAGGACCUGCAGGAACUCAGCAAGGUCCAAACCAGGGAUCUCUAGCUCUGCUGCCAGCUGCAGGAGGUUUCUCCUGACCCCAUCACUCAGGGGCCCUUCUCCGAGGCCAGUGAAACCAAGGUGGAGCAGCUGGAUCAGCUGGCAGUACAGCAUGGCAACAUGGCCAACCUCCCCACGGACUGCUGUGCUCAGAAUCAGAGUUGUGUAGCCCAGGCCCUCAGCUUGGCAUUUGGCCUCAUCUAAAGCCAGAGUGUUUGAUCCGAUGAUGAUGUUGCAGACGUGGGAGUAGUCUUCUGGAGCAGUGGCCUUGGUGGGAGACCUGGACAGGACUGUUUCCACUGACUUGGGCAGGCUGUGCAGCAGGUUGUAUUUGGUCAGUAUCUGAAGGCAGUCUUGGAUGCUGUGGGAGCUGGCAGCAGUGGGCCCACUUGCUAUGAUGUCCAAGGGGUCACCGAUCACAUCAGAAAGGAUGAGGCUUACCACCUACCAAGAGAAGUGCCUGCAGAUUAUUAUGGGAGGCAGAGACAGGUGACCAUUCAAGACCCCCAGUGUAAGCUCUGCUCCAAGUUAGACCUGCACCACCAGGGGCAGAUCUUAGCUCAUUUUUGUUUUAAGGUCAGGACCUUGCCCUUCUUGAACUCACAAAGCUAAAAUGUCCUUUGAUGCUGCACCAUGACAGUGGCAGAUGUAGCCACUGCACUUGUCAGUCUGGUUACCUGGUGUGGGUUCAGUGAUGGUGCACAUUGAGAACAGUCCCCAGGGGAGCCAAGGGUCAGAACCAGCUUCAAAAGCGCUGUGGUGGAGCACCAGCGCAUUGGACGUGCCUGCUGGGGGAGGCCUGAGCUGUGCUGAGAGUAGUGUGAUGGGACAGACAUCAUCUGCAUAGUCUGAAUUCCUCAGACUUUCACCUCUGACUCCCUGAGAGUUUGGAUCCUCCAUGAAAUCUGAGCCACAGAUUCCCAAAACAGUGUGGAGAGGUUGUUCAGCCAGUAAGAUAAAGCCCUGCAAGCACACUUAGGUGGGUUGACUAAGCCCCUGUUUUGAGGGUGGAUGGGUGGUCUUUGGACAAGCAGGAGCUUCCCCUCGGGUACCUGUGCAGGAUAUGCGAUCCGGGCCAGCCCUCCACCCUUCAGCACAGACAGAGCCUUCCGGACGGUGUUCAGCUCCUGUAUGGCAGCUCCUUGGGAAGCCAGCAUCUUUGUGAGUUUCUCCUUCUCUUCAAGAACGAUGGGAGGGAUAGGAGCAGGCAGAAGGGCGGAUCCACCCCCUAAGAUGCAGAAGAGAUGGCAAGGACAGCAGGAAAAGUAGGACAGGAGGGGGAAAAAAAAGCUGUUUGGUGCUUGAGCCUUUCCUCUUCCCUCACCAGCGCUCAGUAGGAAGGCAGGGGUGGUUGGGGAACUAUGCUAACGUCUCUGGAGAACUCAGGCUUCCUCAGCAGUGAGUUUUAAUCAUUGCUGCCAUGCCCAGUCUGCAGUCAGCUACACUUCACUUGGGCUGUGUAAACCUCACCAGAUCAGGGAAUUGCGUGCCUGUAGUGUUGUGGGGAUGGCAGGGAAGGGCCAGCAGGUGCUAUCCCCACUCCAUCAGCUUACUAGUGUACUAUGAGUGCUACUACACUGAUUUGCAAGGGCUACCUGGAUGGGUGAGCAGACAGCACAGGCUCCACGACUUACACAGCAGUCAGUACCAAGUGGAUGGACACACUACCUGCUUUCCUGGCCCUAUUUAUCCAGGCCAGUGUGUAAAAACAUCAGCUAUGGCUGCAGCAAGAGAAAACUGCUGAACUGCACUCAUCUAGGCCUGGGAGGAAAGGAAGGGAAGAGAGUAAUACAAAAGAAAAAGCACACCCAGGGUGCAGGGUGAUAGUCUCAUGGCUGGGAAUCCUGUCUGACAGAGGUGGGCGUUGGAAGUGUGGAAAAGGUGGCAAGAAAAAAGGUUAUAAAGGAAAAGUGGAAAGGAUGGAAAAUACAGAGUAGGAAGGAACAAGAUCUGAGCAGAGAGUGGUCAUGCAGAGAAUAUCUGAAAGCUACUGUCAAAAGGCAAAGCCUGCUCCAAGAUUUGAGACAAAUCAGCAUCAAUAAAACAUGAUGAGCAAGAAAAACAAA